rnacentral:rRNA from 1 species
UGGGGGAUAUUGCGCAAUGGGGGCAACCCUGACGCAGCAACGCCGCGUGAAGGAUGAAGGUUUUCGGAUUGUAAACUUCUUUUAUUAAGGACGAAACUUGACGGUACUUAAUGAAUAAGCUCCGGCUAACUACGUGCCAGCAGCCGCGGUAAUACGUAGGGAGCAAGCGUUGUCCGGAUUUACUGGGUGUAAAGGGUGCGUAGGCGGCUUUGCAAGUCAGAUGUGAAAUCUAUGGGCUCAACCCAUAAACUGCAUUUGAAACUGUAGAGCUUGAGUGAAGUAGAGGCAGGCGGAAUUCCCCGUGUAGCGGUGAAAUGCGUAGAGAUGGGGAGGAACACCAGUGGCGAAGGCGGCCUGCUGGGCUUUAACUGACGCUGAGGCAUGAAAGCGUGGGUAGCAAACAGGAUUAGAUACCCUGGUAGUCCACGCUGUAAACGAUGAUUACUAGGUGUGGGGGGUCUGACCCCUUCCGUGCCGGAGUUAACACAAUAAGUAAUCCACCUGGGGAGUACGGCCGCAAGGUUGAAACUCAAAGGAAUUGACGGGGGCCCGCACAAGCAGUGGAGUAUGUGGUUUAAUUCGAAGCAACGCGAAGAACCUUACCAGGUCUUGACAUCCAACUAACGAAGUAGAGAUACAUUAGGUGCCCUUCGGGGAAAGUUGAGACAGGUGGUGCAUGGUUGUCGUCAGCUCGUGUCGUGAGAUGUUGGGUUAAGUCCCGCAACGAGCGCAACCCUUGCUAUUAGUUGCUACGCAAGAGCACUCUAAUAGGACUGCCGUUGACAAAACGGAGGAAGGUGGGGACGACGUCAAAUCAUCAUGCCCCUUAUGACCUGGGCUACACACGUACUACAAUGGAUGUUAACAGAGGGAAGCAAGACAGCGAUGUGGAGCAAACCCCUAAAAACAUUCUCAGUUCAGAUUGCAGGCUGCAACCCGCCUGCAUGAAGAUGGAAUUGCUAGUAAUCGCGGAUUAGCAUGCCGCGGUGAAUACGUUCCC